UGGUUACAGAGCUACAGGGCUACAUGGCUACAGGGUUACAGGGCAACAGGGCUACAGGACUACAGUGCUACAUUGCUACAUGGCUACAGGGCUACAGGGGUACAGGGCUACAGGGUUACAGGGUUACAGGGCUACAGGGUUACAGGGUUACAGGGUUACAUGGCUACAUGGCUACAGGGCUACAGGGUUACAGGGUUACAGGGCUACAGGUAUACAUGGCUACAGGGCUACAGGGUUACAGGGCUACAGGGUUACAGGGUUACAUGGCUACAGGGUUACAUGGUUACAGGGUUACAGGGCUACAUGGUUACAUGGCUACAGGGCUACAUGGUUACAGGGUUACAUGGCUACAGGGUUACAGGGCUACAGGGUUACAUGGCUACAGGGCUACAGGGCUACAGAUUUACAGGACUACAGGGUUACAGGGCUACAGGGCUACAGGGCUACAGGGUUACAGGGCUACAGGGUUACAGGGUUACCGGGCUACAGGGUUACAGGGCUACAGGUCUACAUGGCUACAGGGGUACAGGGCUACAGGGGUACAGGGCUACAGGGCUACAUGGCUACAGGGCUACAGGGUUACAGGGUCACAGGUCUACAUGGCUACAGGGCUACAGGGUUACAGGGCUACAGGGUUACAGGGUUACAGGGUUACAUGGCUACAGGGUUACAUGGUUACAGGGUUACAGGGCUACAUGGUUACAUGGCUACAGGGUUACAGGGUUACAGGGUUACAUGGCUACAGGGUUACAGGGCUACAGGGUUACAGGGUUACAUGGCUACAGGGCUACAUGGCUACAGGGCUACAGGGCUACAGGGUUACAGGACUACAGGGUUACAGGGCUACAGGGCUAGAGGGUUACAGGGCUACAGGGUUACAGGGUUACAUGGCUACAGGGCUACAGAGCUACAGGGUUACAGGGUUACAUGGCUACAGGGCUACAGGGUUACAGGGUUACAGGGCUACAGGGCUACAUGGCUACAGGGCUACAGGGCUACAGGGUUACAGGGCUACAGGGAUACAUGGCUACAGGGUUACAGGGCUACAGGGCUGCAGGGCUACAGGUUUACAGAGCUACAUGGCUACAUGGCUACAGGGUUACAGAGCUACAGGGCUACAGGGUUACAGGGCUACAGGGCUACAGGGCUGCAGGGCUACAGGGUUACAUGGCAACAGGGCUACAGGGUUACAUGGCUACAGGGCUACAGGGUUACAUGGCAACAGGGCUACAGGGUUACAUGGCAACAGGGCUACAGGGUUACAUGGCAACAGGGCUACAGGGUUACAUGGCUACAGGGCUACAGGGCUACAGGGUUACAUGGCAACAGGGCUACAGGGCUACAGGGUUACAUGGCAACAGGGCUACAGGGCUACAGGGUUACAUGGCAACAGG
ensembl:lncRNA